rnacentral:lncRNA from 1 species
CCCAGUCCUGUGCUAGACGCUGGAAUGAAUUAGUCAGACGGGGUCUGAGUCCUUAAGGAACUCGAUCAAAUAUGGGGCAGAGAUGGUAACAAGUAAUAUAGUUCAGCAGAGGAGAUGCCAGAACUGUGUGCAAAACACCCGGCUAACACAGAGAUGACAACUGAUUCUGCCUGGAAAAACAGCAGUUGAGGUGACACAAGCUGUAGCGAGAAGUGGAGUCUGGGGGCAUUUCCCGACGUUGAGUCUCGGAAGCUGCCGGAACCAAGGUGCUGCGGUAGUGGAGUGAUUCUCGGUGGGAUAUUGUUACCGGACCUGUUCAAGGCCGUUCCGUCAGCGUUUUCAGACGCAAAGGGGUCGUGGCUGCUGGUGCGGAUCUUCGGUCUACACUUUUAGAGGUCACAGCAGCAAAAGAUGAACGGAACCCUGUGGAAGGUGCUGUGCCUGCGGAACAAUACCAUUUUUAAGCAAGGCUUUUCCCACUUGAGAUUCAGAGCUUUGGGAGAGAAUCCCACUUAUUCUGCAGGUAAGUGGUUAUUUCCUUGUAUGAUCUGCCUACUUUAAGUGACCUUCUAUUCUAGCAUUCUAUAACAAUUUUGCCUAGAAGGAUGCCUACCACAUAUUUGAGAAUAGUAGCAGAGACCAAGUCCCAC